rnacentral:rRNA from 1 species
GAUGAACGCUAGCGGCAGGCCUAACACAUGCAAGUCGAGGGGUAGAAUUAGCUUGCUAAUUUGAGACCGGCGCACGGGUGCGUAACGCGUAUGCAAUCUGCCUUGUACUGAGGGAUAGCCCAGAGAAAUUUGGAUUAAUACCUCAUAGUAUUAUGAUGUGGCAUCACAUUAUAAUUAAAGUUCCAACGGUACAAGAUGAGCAGGCGUCCCAUUAGUUAGUUGGUAAGGUAACGGCUUACCAAGACGAUGAUGGGUAGGGGUCCUGAGAGGGAGAUCCCCCACACUGGUACUGAGACACGGACCAGACUCCUACGGGAGGAAGCAGUGAGGAAUAUUGGUCAAUGGGCGCAAGCCUGAACCAGCCAUGCCGCGUGCAGGAUGACGGUCCUAUGGAUUGUAAACUGCUUUUAUACGGGAAGAAACACUGCUACGUGUAGCAGCUUGACGGUACCGUAAGAAUAAGGAUCGGCUAACUCCGUGCCAGCAGCCGCCGUAAGAC